rnacentral:lncRNA from 1 species
GUUAAAGUUCUGCACAAUUUGCUUCAGUGGCCAGGGGUUUGCAGGUUCGGAUCCCGGGUGUGGACCUACUCUCCUCAUCAGCCACAGUGUGGCAGUAUCCCACAUAGAAAGUAGAGAAAGAUUGACACAGAUGUUAGCUCAGGGCUAAUCUUCCUCAAGCUAAAAAAGAGAGGAGGAUUGGCAACAGAUGUUAGCUCAGGGGGAAUCGUCCUCACAAAAAAAAGAUUAAAAGUGGCAUUUAGCUCUCGGCUUGGCCAAGCUUAAUCUGAGUAUAUUCAGUAAAGUCAGCUUCUUCUAUGAUAUAGACAACUAGGCGUAGAAGGAUGCAAACUGAGACAGUGAAGUGGGAGGGCAAGGCCUCAUGACAGGGGUGUUCCUGGGGAAAACCUUGCUUAACUAAUCGUAGGCAAUAUUGUGAUGAUACAUAAUGAGACACGAUUCAUAUCCUUUUUAGGAUGCUUCCUAAAAUGCAACUAGCUGGCAGAAGACAGAGCACUUGGGUUGAAUGUUUCACAGAGCUAAAGGUGCACUAAUUCUGGAUGAGACUCCAGCUGGGAGGAGGAGAAAAGCAUAGAUCAGAAUGAUGGACAUGCCCCUCUCCAGGACGUGUCACCCUAGGGCAGGGAAAUCAUUAGAUCUUCCAAUCCUGAAGAUUUCUCCGAGAACAACAGCUUGCAGAAAGCAAACCCACGUUGCGAGUUCCAGACAAAGCCCCAACUGUUCCAACUGUGAUUACCUAAACGCAUUUUAGAACUUGGACAGAGUCUUCAGGAAAAUACUAAUUAAUAGUAAAGCUGGGCCAAAAAAGUUAUUCUCAUCAAAAGUACAUUUAUUUUUUUCUCUAGCCACGUGCUUUAUCUCCCUAUUUCGGUAUUCGAGAGAGAGGGAGGGAGUUAAACCGUAAAUUAGCCUUUAAUCCCUAUCCUGGGUGAUGCCACCGGAGCAUUCCUAACUGGCAGGGAGCGUCUCAGGACACACAAACCCAGGAACAUUUUAGAUGCUCACAAUUCUAGGAACUCUUAUUUUGGAGGCUCC